GACGAACGCUGGCGGCGUGCUUAACACAUGCAAGUCGAACGGAAAGGCCCUGCUUGCCGGGUACUCGAGUGGCGAACGGGUGAGUAACACGUGGGUGAUCUGCCCUGCACUUCGGGAUAAGCCUGGGAAACUGGGUCUAAUACCGGAUAGGAGCCAUUUUUAGUGUGAUGGUUGGAAAGUUUUUUCGGUGUAGGAUGAGCUCGCGGCCUAUCAGCUUGUUGGUGGGGUAAUGGCCUACCAAGGCGGCGACGGGUAGCCGGCCUGAGAGGGUGGGCGGCCACAGUGGGACUGAGAUCCGGCCCAGACACCUACGGGAGGCAGCAGUGGGGAAUAUUGCACAAUGGGCGCAAGCCUGAUGCAGCGACGCCGCGUGGGGGAUGACGGCCUUCGGGUUGUAAACGCCUUUCGCUAGGGACGAAGCUUUUUGUGACGGUACCUAGAUAAGAAGCACCGGCUAACUACGUG
rnacentral:rRNA from 1 species